CCUACGGGUGGCAGCAGUGGGGAAUAUUGCACAAUGGGGGAAACCCUGAUGCAGCGACGCCGCGUGAGUGAAGAAGUAUUUCGGUACGUAAAGCUCUAUCAGCAGGGAAGAAAAUGACGGUACCUGACUAAGAAGCCCCGGCUAACUACGUGCCAGCAGCCGCGGUAAUACGUAGGGGGCAAGCGUUAUCCGGAGUUACUGGGUGUAAAGGGAGCGUAGACGGCAGCGCAAGUCUGGAGUGAAAUCCCAUGGCUUAACCAUGGAACUGCUUUGGAAACUGUGCAGCUAGAGUGCAGGAGAGGUAAGCGGAAUUCCUAGUGUAGCGGUGAAAUGCGUAGAUAUUAGGAGGAACACCAGUGGCGAAGGCGGCUUACUGGACUGUAACUGACGUUGAGGCUCGAAAGCGUGGGGAGCAAACAGGAUUAGAUACCCCAGUAGUC
rnacentral:rRNA from 1 species